rnacentral:rRNA from 1 species
GGAAGGUCCGGGCGUUAUCCGGAUUUAUUGGGUUUAAAGGGAGCGUAGGCCGGAGAUUAAGCGUGUUGUGAAAUGUAGACGCUCAACGUCUGCACUGCAGCGCGAACUGGUUUCCUUGAGUACGCACAAAGUGGGCGGAAUUCGUGGUGUAGCGGUGAAGUGCUUAGAUAUCACGAAGAACUCCGAUUGCGAAGGCAGCUCACUGGAGCGCAACUGACGCUGAAGCUCGAAAGUGCGGGUAUCGAACAGGAUUAGAUACCCUGGUAGUCCAUGCCGUAAACGAUGAAUACUAGGUGUAGGAGGUAUCGACCCCUUCUGUGCCGCAGCUAACGCAAUAAGUAUUCCGCCUGGGGAGU